UACGAGGGGGGCGAGCGUUGUUCGGAAUUAUUGGGCGUAAAGGGUGCGUAGGCGGUUUGGUAAGUCUCGUGUGAAAUCUCCGGGCUCAACUCGGAGCCUGCACGAGAAACUGCCGGGCUUGAGUGUGGGAGAGGUGAGUGGAAUUCCUGGUGUAGCGGUGAAAUGCGUAGAUAUCGGAAGGAACACCUGUGGCGAAAGCGGCUCACUGGACCAUAACUGACGCUGAGGCACGAAAGCUAGGGGAGCAAACAGG
rnacentral:rRNA from 1 species